rnacentral:rRNA from 1 species
CCGACGGUGAGGGGCGAAAGCUGGGGGAGCAAACCGGAUUAGAUACCCGGGUAGUCCCAGCUGUAAACGAUGCGCGUUAGGUGUGUCAGUGACCACGUGUCACUGAUGUGCCGAAGGGAAACCGUGAAACGCGCCGCCUGGGGAGUACGGUCGCAAGGCUGAAACUUGAAGGAAUUGGCGGGGGAGCACCACAACGGGUGGAGCCUGCGGUUUAAUCGGACUCAACGCCGGAAAUCUCACCGGAUAA